UGUGUGUCAGCGUGUGUUGGCUAGUGUGUGUUAAUGUGUGUAGGCGUGUGUGUGUCAGCGUGUGUUGGCUAGCGUGUGUUAAUGUGUGUAGGCGUGUGUGUGUGUGUCAGCGUGUGUUGGCUAGCGUGUGUUAAUGUGUGUAGGCGUGUGUGUGUUGGCUAGUGUGUGUUAAUGUGUGUAGACGUGUGUGUGUCAGCGUGUAUUGGCUAGCGUGUGUUAAUGUGUGUAGGCAUGUGUUAAUGUGUGUCAGCGUGUGUUGGCUAGCGUGUGUUAAUGUGUGUAGGCGUGUGUGUGUCAGCAUGUGUUGGCUAGCGUGUGUUAAUGUGUGUAGACGUGUGUGUGUCAGCGUGUAUUGGCUAGCGUGUGUUAAUGUGUGUAGGCGUGUGUGUGUUGGCUAGCGUGUGUUAAUGUGUGUAGGCAUGUGUGUGUUGGCUAGCGUGUGUUAAUGUGUGUAGGCCUGUGUGUGUCAGCGUGUAUUGGCUAGCGUGUGUUAAUGUGUGUAGGCAUGUGUUAAUAUGUGUCAGCGUGUGUUGGCUAGCGUGUGUUAAUGUGUGUAGGCGUGUGUGUGUCAGCGUGUGUUGGCUAGCGUGUGUUAAUGUGUGUAGGCGUGUGUGUGUCAGCGUGUGUUGGCUAGCGUGUGUUAAUGUGUGUAGGCGUGUGUGUGUCAGCGUGUGUUGGCUAGCGUGUGUUAAUGUGUGUAGGCGUGUGUGUGUCAGCGUGUAUUGGCUAGCGUGUGUUAAUGUGUGUAUAAAUAGCUGCUACAUCUGGAUUCAUGCAUCUUUAAUGACUCUUCAUGAAUAUAAUCGUCGUCUCCUCUGUCUCUGCUCCUCUACACACUCCUGAUUUCUCCUCUUUGUCUUUCCAUCGUUACUUCAUCUUCUGUUUCAUUCUUCAAGUCUUUUCUUCUCCACUGAAUGUUGGAUUCGGUUCUUUCUGACUGAUGAAGACCAUGUUGUGAGGUUGAAAUCUCCAGAGCUCUGCAGGUUUCUGGGUCAUUUAUCUAUGAAUUAUUGGUCUUUAUUGAUCACUUUAAUCAUUAACAGUUUAUUGUCUAAUCAGCUGUUAGUUACAACAAUAAAAACUUUAAGAUAAUCUGAUUCGACCUCAGAGUUUAGAGUCGUCCGAUCCAGGAGUUUAGCUGAUCGGCAUCGAGCCUCAACUAAAUUCUUAGUUUACAUCAGCUGGUGUUCGGAGGAGCUUCAGGAGAAACCAGGCGGACUUCUUGGGAAGACGUUUUCUAGAAAUGUCUUCCAGAUUGCAUUUAAAAAGUGGAACAUUUCAGGUCAUUAACCUUCUCAGAAGUCUUUGUCAUGGUGCCUGUUGCUGCUAAACUCCCACAGUGCUCUCUGCUUUAACUGUAGUCUGAGUGACGCCUCAUCUGGUUUCUAUAGGAUUAAACAGGAAGAGGCUCCACCUGGUGGAACAACCAGGAACUACAGCUGAUCUACAUUUACUGACAUCAUGGAGAGAAAACAGGUUUACUGCAGUACAUCCUAUCAUCUAGUACUACAUUUACCCUCUAGUACUGCAUUCAGACAGUGUCCUACUGGAACUUUACAAGGUUCCACCUACAGAACGAGCAGAUAGACUGAGUUAAUUUACAUAAACUUUAAUCAAAGUGUGUAUUAUCAGUAGUUGGGCCUCGGUAUCAACAGAUGGUGGAUAUUAAAUGAUUUAUAUCCGAUCAGGACGGUCCUACUCCUGCCUCCCUUCCAGAUUAAAGGCUGUGGUUCUCUGCUGAUCUGAGGUCAGUUAACUCUCCUUAUUAAAGCAUCGUGUCCCAGCAUGCUUCACUGUGACGUCUGGACUCUGGAUGUGACACUAAAGUUGGAAACUCAUGACGUCUAAUUUUCCUGAAUUCACAUUAAAGUCAAGUUUAUCUUGAGUUUGUUUCUGGACAGAAACUCUGAGACCAAACCAGAUGUGGGUUCAUGUCGAAUGUUUUCUUUCUGUCUGAUCUCCGUCUGAAUGUUCCGUAUUUGGAUGAAGUUAAACAUUCAGGACUCGGCAUCAACGCCUCAAACUAAAAAUCCACGUUUUUCUUUUUUUCCUCUGAGGAAGGAAACGUUUGUUUCUCCUCGAAAACGUUCCAGAUCUGGGAAUGUUUGGGUUGAAGAUCAGUGGCUCUGAACAGGACUGAAGCCAGGAGGGCGGCGCUUCCUCACGGCAGACUCACCUGAGGACACCUGAGGAUGAAUGUACUGUGGAACGAAGCUGUUUCAGCAUGACGUUCAGGUGAUUGUAGCCCCGCCUCCCUGCUCUCCACCCACAGGUGCUGCUCGCCGCUGUUUGUUCCAUAGCAGAGAAAGACUGUUAAACUUUACUGAUUUUAUUUUCUCAAUUUGUAAACCAAUGUAUAUUUUAAAA
ensembl:lncRNA